rnacentral:tRNA from 1 species
AGCGAGUAUAGAUAAAAUGGUAAAUCAUUAAUUUUCCAAAUUAAUAUAUAUGGGUUCGAGUCCCAUUACUCGCUU